AGCUUUUCGAAUCCGUGCUGAUAUUUCUUCAGACACUAACCCAUUAGGGCUGAUCAGACUCCCAAGAUAAAUGAGGUU
rnacentral:pre_miRNA from 1 species